GAGUUUGAUCAUGGCUCAGAUUGAACGCUGGCGGCAGGCCUAACACAUGCAAGUCGAACGGUAACAGAAAGCAGCUUGCUGCUUUGCUGACGAGUGGCGGACGGGUGAGUAAUGUCUGGGAAACUGCCUGAUGGAGGGGGAUAACUACUGGAAACGGUAGCUAAUACCGCAUAACGUCGCAAGACCAAAGAGGGGGACCUUCGGGCCUCUUGCCAUCGGAUGUGCCCAGAUGGGAUUAGCUUGUUGGUGGGGUAACGGCUCACCAAGGCGACGAUCCCUAGCUGGUCUGAGAGGAUGACCAGCCACACUGGAACUGAGACACGGUCCAGACUCCUACGGGAGGCAGCAGUGGGGAAUAUUGCACAAUGGGCGCAAGCCUGAUGCAGCCAUGCCGCGUGUAUGAAGAAGGCCUUCGGGUUGUAAAGUACUUUCAGCGGGGAGGAAGGGAGUAAAGUUAAUACCUUUGCUCAUUGACGUUACCCGCAGAAGAAGCACCGGCUAACUCCGUGCCAGCAGCCGCGGUAAUACGGAGGGUGCAAGCGUUAAUCGGAAUUACUGGGCGUAAAGCGCACGCAGGCGGUUUGUUAAGUCAGAUGUGAAAUCCCCGGGCUCAACCUGGGAACUGCAUCUGAUACUGGCAAGCUUGAGUCUCGUAGAGGGGGGUAGAAUUCCAGGUGUAGCGGUGAAAUGCGUAGAGAUCUGGAGGAAUACCGGUGGCGAAGGCGGCCCCCUGGACGAAGACUGACGCUCAGGUGCGAAAGCGUGGGGAGCAAACAGGAUUAGAUACCCUGGUAGUCCACGCCGUAAACGAUGUCGACUUGGAGGUUGUGCCCUUGAGGCGUGGCUUCCGGAGCUAACGCGUUAAGUCGACCGCCUGGGGAGUACGGCCGCAAGGUUAAAACUCAAAUGAAUUGACGGGGGCCCGCACAAGCGGUGGAGCAUGUGGUUAAUUCGAUGCAACGCGAAGACCUUACCUGGUCUUGACAUCCACAGAACUUUCCAGAGAUGGAUUGGUGCCUUCGGGAACUGUGAGACAGGUGCUGCAUGGCUGUCGUCAGCUCGUGUUGUGAAAUGUUGGGUUAAGUCCCGCAACGAGCGCAACCCUUAUCCUUUGUUGCCAGCGGUCCGGCCGGGAACUCAAAGGAGACUGCCAGUGAUAAACUGGAGGAAGGUGGGGAUGACGUCAAGUCAUCAUGGCCCUUACGACCAGGGCUACACACGUGCUACAAUGGCGCAUACAAAGAGAAGCGACCUCGCGAGAGCAAGCGGACCUCAUAAAGUGCGUCGUAGUCCGGAUUGGAGUCUGCAACUCGACUCCAUGAAGUCGGAAUCGCUAGUAAUCGUGGAUCAGAAUGCCACGGUGAAUACGUUCCCGGGCCUUGUACACACCGCCCGUCACACCAUGGGAGUGGGUUGCAAAAGAAGUAGGUAGCUUAACCGUUACGGGAGGGCGCUUACCACUUUGUGAUUCAUGACUGGGGUGAAGUCGUAACAAGGUAACCGUAGGGGAACCUGCGGUUGGAUCACC
rnacentral:rRNA from 1 species